UUUUCCUUAGCUUAAUUAUUUAGAGCGUUAGUUUGAAGCACUAGAGGCACCAAACUUGGUAGGAGAGA
rnacentral:tRNA from 1 species